UAUGCAAACUCUUCCUCUCUUAUAAACACACCAUCAGCAACUUGUGGCAGAACACUGGGACAGUUUUAUAUAUUUCUGAAACACUCAGAUCAGAGAGCUGAACUACAGUGUUUAUCACAGAAUGGACAAUACAAUUAUCUGGAGUUUAUUAUUUGUAGUUACUAUUCAUGGAGUUUGGAGUGAGAUCAAACUGGACCAGUCUCCCUCUGAGGUGAAAAGACCUGGAGAGACAGUGAAGAUGUCAUGUGUCAUAUCUGGUUAUAGCAUGACAAGCAACAAUAUUCACUGGGUACGACAGAGGUCAGGGAAAGCUCUGGAGUGGAUUGGGUGGAUGAACACAGGUUCAAACUCUGCUAGCUAUGCCAGCGACUUUCAAAGCCGUUUCAUCAUGACUGAAAAUGUGCCCAGCAGCACUCAGUACCUCGAGGUCAAGAGCCUGACAGCAGAAGAUUCUGCUGUUUACUUCUAUGCUCGACAAAGCACAGUGACUGAAGACAGUGGAGCAGCUGCACAAAAAACUCCCAGCCUCAUACUCCCCCGUCCCAGCGUGACGUCCCAUAAGCGCCACUACACUCACUAAUACAUACAGUAUGCAUGUACAUGUAAUAGAGAGCAUUCUGAAGGACUGCUUAGGCUGUGUGUUAUCAACAACACAAAGACUUUAACAGCCAAUGACAGUUACAGGUGGGAAAGGGCGUCAUUUUGUGUUCAAACGUGGUGGGGACAUUUUAGGGCUCAGAUUAGA